UACAGAGGUCCCAAGCGUUGUUCGGAUUCACUGGGCGUAAAGGAUGCGUAGGAGGCUGGGAAAGUCGGAUGUGAAAUCUCACCGCUUAACGGUGAAACUGCAUUCGAUACUACUCGGCUAGAGGAUCGGAGGGGAGAGCAGAAUUCUUGGUGUAGCGGUGAAAUGCGUAGAUAUCAAGAGGAAUACCAACAGCGUAGGCAGCUCUCUGGACCGUUACUGACGCUGAGGUGCGAAAGCUAGGGGAGCAAACGGG
rnacentral:rRNA from 1 species